rnacentral:rRNA from 1 species
UGGGCUUAAUUUAGCUCUCUGCAACUCUCACAUGGUGGUCCACUGAAGCUAAGCAGGGCUGUCGCCCGGUCAGCAGCUGGAUGGGAGACCACAUGGAAAAGCAAGGUUGCAGCCGGA